UCAAACUUGGUCAUUUAGAGGAAGUAAAAGUCGUAACAAGGUUUCCGUAGGUGAACCUGCGGAAGGAUCAUUAUUGAAUAAACUGGAAAUGGAUUGUUGCUGGCUUUUCGGAGCAUGUGCACGUUCAUUCCAUUGUUUUACAACCUCCUGUGCACCUUCUGUAGAAUCUUGUACCUCGAAGGAUUUUAUUCUUCGGUCUUGGUGACUGCCAAUGUUUGAAAGAAAGCAUUUGCCUGUCUUGCCUGUCCUUUCAAGGUUCUAUGUCUUUACAUUAAUACUCUUGCAUGUAUCAGAAUGUCGUUUAUGAGGCCAUUUUAGUGCCUUUAAAAUACAAAUAUAACUUUCAACAACGGAUCUCUUGGCUCUCGCAUCGAUGAAGAACGCAGC
rnacentral:misc_RNA from 1 species